GCGCCAGUAGCUCAGUUGGACAGAGCAGCUGCCUUCUAAGCAGCGGGUCGGGGGUUCGAGCCCCUCCUGGCGCG
rnacentral:tRNA from 1 species